GCAGGGAGGGGUGGACCCAGAAUACCGAGGAAAGAGAUUCACCUGAGGCGGAAGGUGGGCCUCCUCUUUCCCCGAGCCUGGAGAAGAAAAGAAAACAAGGAUUUAGGCACAUGGAUCAGCCCCUGUGUGGAAAACUGCAGACUUUGGGGCAGAAGGAAGAGAAUGACGAGAAAGAAGAGAGAAUGACGAACCGUGCCCGAGCUCUUGAAGCUUCUGCCGGGAGUGAUACGCAUUCGCUUGGUGCACGUUUCAUGGCUAAAGCAACUCCCAUCGUCAACGCCUGAGCUCAGCACAACAGGAACACAGAAAAAGGACUGAUUUGGGGCAAACAGUACAAGCUGAUAGAAGUUGCUCCUUCAUUCAUUAGCUGUUUGCUGAGCCCCUACUGUGUGCCUGCUGCUACGCUCGGCUCUCCGAAGAAGACAGACGUGCUGUCGUAUCGGUGGCCAUUUAGGGAGUUCUUGCUGAUGGCCUUGCUUUGCUUCACUGACACAGGGGACCCCCCCAUCUGAGAGGGAGGGAGUUGUUUCGAGGUAAUAGGUUUGAGGAGGGAGGUAAACAUUUCAGAUAACCUCUGAGGAAAAUGGGAAAGAAAGCUGAAUGGAGGGAGCGGCAUGGAACAGCAGCCCUACACGUCUUGCUGUGGAUGCAAAUUCAUGGCUGUGUGGUUUCCUGUGAACGCUCAGUUGCCUGGAUGCUCUUGGAGCAGAAAGAAGACUCGGCAGUUUUCUGUGUGUUUCUGUGUGACGGAAGAGGACCCAGCAGACUGAGUCAUCAAGAGUGCGUCAAGGGUGGGCAGCACUUGCAGUCAGAUCCAUGAAGAUCCACAUCUUUCUGUAGAUGAGUCCUUUUCCUUGGGAAAUUACAAUUCUGAGAGGUCCCCAAAGCACCAUGGAAGUUUGAAUAAACAAAGGCGUAAAGUUCUUUA